rnacentral:rRNA from 1 species
UCGGCUACGGCGGCUAUACUGCAGUCGAGCGAAUGGAUUAAGAGCUUGCUCUUAUGAAGUUAGCGGCGGACGGGUGAGAAACACGUGGGUAACCUGCCCAUAAGACUGGGAUAACUUCGGGAAACCGGGGCUAAUACCGGAUAACAUUUUGAACCGCAUGGUUCGAAAUUGAAAGGCGGCUUCGGCUGUCACCCCCUGGAUGGACCCGCGUCGCAUUAGCUAGUUGGUGAGGUAACGGCUCACCAAGGCAACGAUGCGUAGCCGACCUGAGAGGGUGAUCGGCCACACUGGGACUGAGACACGGCCCAGACUCCUACGGGAGGCAGCAGUAGGGAAUCUUCCGCAAUGGACGAAAGUCUGACGGAGCAACGCCGCGUGAGUGAUGAAGGCUUUCGGGUCGUAAAACUCUGUUGUUAGGGAAUUUUUAUUUUUUUUUUUGAAUAAGCUGGCACCUUUUUUUUUACUUAACCAGAAAGCCACCCCCUUACUACUUGCCAGCAGCCGCUGGUAAUACGUAUUUUG